ACGUGGGCCCAGAUUGUCACACACAGAUCAGUGUGUUUACAUCCGAGAGCGAUUGGAAGGGGAAAAAAAAAAAACUUGUUGUAUCUCUCCACGAGUCGAUGACUAAUCUUUUCCCUGCGAUGUGUUUUAGCUAAGAAGCAAUAACUCUUCAUCAGGAGUCUGCCCAAGGGUGCUGAGCUGUCAUGGCAACAGCCCUCCACACAGACGGGCGUUCAUGAUCCUCCCAGGCACAGGAAGCACAAGGCCUCCCGAACAUCCCCACAAGUUCCCUCUUCUCCCAAGGAUGUCAGUCACUAUUAGGGAAAGUCCCAUCACAAACACAGACGUAUACGAGGGAUGGCUAGACGGCCUCUAGUGACCUGGCUGCCCCCUGACGCCUUCUCCGGCAUGAGGAUACCACAGAAGGGCAGAGAGAUAAAGGAAGGCAUUGUUUAUCCACCUGUUAACUUCCACCAUGGAUGGACUCUUGAACAACCCAAACUGACAAGAAUCUGACUCCAGACUAAAGGACCUGAGAAGAACCACUUAGGAGAUGGUAUUUCAGCUCAUGGUCUCAGUCAACAAUGGUGGGGAAGGCGUGGCAGAAGGAGCGCAUGAAUUCCUCACAUGGCGGCGGUGGACUGAGACUGGGAUUAGAGGCGGGAGAGAACUUUCAAAGGCCUGCCCUCAGCGACCUGCUUUUACCAGCGAGGCCCUACCUGGUAAUGGUCCCGCAACCACGAUAUUCAGCAAGAAUUAACUCUGCUUUUAAAAUAUAUUUUCGCGCGAUGCAA